rnacentral:sRNA from 1 species
UAUAUUUGGAAUACAGAAAAACUGAAAAUUAAAAAUAGUUUCUCAAAUAUAAAAAACAUUUAUAUAGAAAAUUAAUAUUUCAAAUUUCAAAAUAUAUAUGUAUGGUAGGUAUAUUUAAAUUUUUAUAUAUUUGUUUUUUGUGUAGUUUUGUAAUUUUUAAUUUCUUGCAUAUAUUUUCAAUUAAUUGUGUAGUUUUAUUUGUUAGUAUAGAUAUGCUAUGUUUGUAUUUUUACCAAAACGUCCAAAACGAUGUUUCAAAACGACGUCGUCUCAAUUUAACAGAAACUUCUAACGGAAGGUUAACCCUGUUAACGGAAAUUUACGACGUGUCCAAAAUGGCCAAGUCAACGAAACUUGACAAUUUUUUCAAAACGUCAAACGAAACUUUGUGAUUUAAAUGGCAUUUCGAAAGUUCAUGCUUUUUUGUCCCAAAUUUGAAAGUUCAUGAUUUUUUUAACAUUUUUCCCCUAGUAAUUCUCUGCGCCGGCUACUAUGUCUGUCUCUCUCUUCCUACAAAAUGUUCUAACUUCUUUUUUUAUUUUGUUCCCAAAUUUUUAUUUUUUAAUUUAUUUUUAAUUAACUGAUAUUAGACAUAAUUAAAUUUCUUAUAUUACGAUUCAUUCAU